rnacentral:rRNA from 1 species
AAGACCUUGCACUUUUGGAGCGGCCGAUGUCUGAUUAGCUAGUUGGUGGGGUAAUGGCCUACCAAAGCUUCGAUCAGUAGCUGGUCUGAGAGGACGGCCAGCCACACUGGGACUGAGACACGGCCCAGACUCCUACGGGAGGCAGCAGUGGGGAAUUUUGGACAAUGGGCGCAAGCCUGAUCCAGCCAUGCCGCGUGAGUGAAGAAGGCCUUCGGGUUGUAAAGCCCUUUCAGUCGGGAAGAAAAGGUUGCGACUAAUAAUCGCAAUUCAUGACGGUACCGGAAGAAGAAGCACCGGCUAACUACGUGCCAGCAGCCGCGGUAAUACGUAGGGUGCGAGCGUUAAUCGGAAUUACUGGGUGUAAAGGGUGCGCAGGCGGUUUUGUAAGUCAGAUGUGAAAUCCCCGGGCUUAACCUGGGAACU